rnacentral:rRNA from 1 species
UACGAAGGGGGCUAGCGUUGCUCGGAAUCACUGGGCGUAAAGCGCACGUCGGCGGCUUUUUAAGUCAGGGGUGAAAUCCUGGAGCUCAACUCCAGAACUGCCUUUGAUACUGAGAAGCUUGAGUCCGGGAGAGGUGAGUGGAACUGCGAGUGUAGAGGUGAAAUUCGUAGAUAUUCGCAAGAACACCAGUGGCGAAGGCGGCUCACUGGCCCGGUACUGACGCUGAGGUGCGAAAGCGUGGGGAGCAAACAGG